CAAAAGGGCUGGGAUUACAGGCAUGAGCCACUGCGCCCUGGAUAUAUAUUAUAUAUCGCUUAAUUUUACAUUAUAAAUGCAAAACGAGUUCACUUUGAACUGUAGAAGAGCAUAUAGAAGAAAACUUAAAGGUUUUUUGUUGUCCUACCCUGUUCCCUAUCAUUCCUAAGUGCAUCUCCUCAUAGGUAACCUUUAAAACUUCCUCCUUUGCCUCUAUAUUCAUUCAAACAUGUAUUCUUACAUGCAUAUAUACAGACCUGCAUGCUAUUUGAAACACAAAUGGUAAAAUUUCUUACUGAUUGGCUAUUUGGUAUUAAUCAAUUUUAUAAGCUGUGAUAAUGGAGGUGUAAUUACAUUUUUUUGUUUGUUUGUUUGGGGCUUUUUUUGAUAUGAGGUCUUGCCAUGUUGCCUAGACUGGCCUUGAACUCCUGGCCUCAAGUGAUCCUCCUGCCUCAGCCUCCGGGUAUGUAAUUUUAUUUUUUUAAAAGUCUUCACUGGGUUGGGCAUGGUGGCUCACACCCACCGGUAAUCCCAGCACUUUGGGAGGUCAAGGUAGAAGGAUCACUUGAGCCCAGGAGUUGGAGACCCGCCUGGGCAACAUGGCAAAACCCUGUAUCUACAAAAAAUUUAAAAUUUAGCCAGGCAUGGUGGCGUGUGCUUGUAGUUUCAGCUGCCUAGGAGGCCUGAGGUGGGAGGAUUACUUGAGCCCAGGAGGUCAAGGCUACAGUGAGCCAUGACUGUGCCUGCACUCCAGCCUGGGCAACAGAGCAAGACUGUCUCAAAAAAAAAAAAAAAAGGAAGAAGAGUCCUCGUUGGCAUCCUGGGCAACAUAGUGAGACUCCGUCUCUGCAAAAAAUAAGAAAAUUAGCUGGGCAUGGUGGCAUGCACUGGUGGUCCCAGCUACUCAGGAGGCUGAGAUAGGAGAAUCAUGUGAGUCCAGGCAUUGGAGGUUGCAGUGAGCUAUGAAUGUGCCACUGUACUCCAGCCUGGGCAGCAGAGCAAGACCCUGUCUCAAAAAAAAUUUAAAAACGCAUCCUCAUUGAGAGAGAAACAUGCUGAAGUAUUUGUGGGCAACGUGGUAGGAUCUAUGGCAUUUUCUUCAAAGUAAUGCUUGAUGGGGAAGGGUGAGUGAGAUAAUACAUGAGAUGAAAAGAUUGGUCACAAGUUGUUAAUGGUUGGAGCUGCCUGGUUCUUCCUUUCUAUUUACUACUUAAAAAUUUUCCAUAAUUACAGAAAGAGAGAGAUGGAGUGAAGUGCCAGGAAAAGAAUUAGAUCAUGCCAUUCAUCUCAGCAACAUUCUUCUUAACAAAAAGAAAUCUGAGAUUUAAGGAGACAAUACCCUGGUAUAAAAGCACUGAGAAGCUGGGUGCGGUGGCUCAUGCCUGUAAUCCCAGCACUUUGGGAGGCCGAGGUGGGCAGAUCACGAGGUCAGGAGAUCAAGACCAUCCUAGCUAACACGGUGAAACCCCGUCUCUAUUAAAAAUACAAAAAAUUAGCCAGGCAUGGUGGUGGACGUCUGUAGUCCCAGCUACUCAGGAGGCUGAGGCAGGAGAAUAGUGUGAACCCAGGAGGCGGAGCUUGCAGUGAGCCGAGAUUGUGCCACUGCACUCCAGCCUGGGCGACAGAGCAGGACUCUGUCCCAGUAAAUAAAUAAGCACUGAGAAUCAGUGAAUAUCGAUAUCUAACGGGGCCCAGGUGGCAUGGUUCAGCCACCUCUCCACUAAGAAGCCAUUUGAAUUCC
rnacentral:lncRNA from 1 species